rnacentral:lncRNA from 10 species
ACACCGAAGAACACAGCAUCAUUACUGAGAUAUUGCCCCCCAAAAAGUAUAGUCUGAAUUUAACCACACAGAAAAAUCAGUUUUAUGCAGAGUUCAAGAUGCAGAUAUCUUCUAUGUUCUGUAAUUUUUAAUAACAAUUUAAAGUAGUCUUUCUUUAGCACCCUAGAAAGCGGGUAUCUCGCAAUAAUUUUUUUUUCAGAACUUUCAGAGUAAUAAAUGCCAUCCAGUUUAAAUAAGCAUUUUCUUAAUCCUGUUCUGAACAGAGCUAAUGAAGAACACAUAUGAAACCUCAACAUUACAUGUUCUCCAUCCUUACUAAGGACGUUCCCCCAAUAGGAAUCUUGAGUAUCCACAUCUUUCCACGUUCAACAGCAACAAGGGAAACACUUUUAAUAGUGCAGAUCAAAAAUUCCUGGUAAGAAUUCUGCAUGGCGUAUAAGAAGCCAUGAUUUAGAGAGUGUAGAGAAGGCUCUGGGAUAUAGGAGAGAGAUACUUUGCAGAGACCCUUGACUACCACAAGAAUUUUUUAUAGUAGUUAAACUCAUUAGGGGAAAGAAACACAAGUAGAGAAGUAAAUGUUUGCAAGGACUAAAUGCAUCGCACUCCAGGAGGCAGAGUGGACACAGCUCUUCAUCUGACACAUGUUUAGCUGAAAAAAAAAAAAAAAGCCAUUUUUCCUCUUUUGUCUUCUUUGGAAAUGCUUUUCAGAUGACAUUCUCUGGAGAAGUUACACCUGUGUCUUGAAAAAAUUCCUUAAAAGGCGUCAGCACCACCUGUUUACCUGCUAGUCUCACACCCACAGAAAAAAGAACUAAGAACUGCAGAAAAAGCACACCCAUUUCUGUCCUUUAUAACAGCAGAGAUUCAGGAACAAUGAACUGCUCAAUGAAUAUAAAAAUAUGUUUCUCUAUUUCUGUCUUCAGGUGCCUGCUUUUGCCACAAACACCAGCAAUUUCUGCUACAGUAAUGGAAAUAUGGGUGACACUGACCUCUCCCUAUCAAAACCAAACAGAACGGUCCCUGUGACUACCUUUUAGUGCAAAGGUGGAACUUAACUCUCAUGAAUGUAUCUUGAACCCCACACACUUGAUUCUGGCCUCACCUUAGAGUCACAUGAGACACAAUUAAAACAACAUGAAUACUUUCACCUAGAACAAUAAACAGAACCUGUGGAAAGGGUACAAGUAAAGAGAUUUCUGCAAAUUGGCCAUGUAAUGCUAAUGAGAAGUCUAGGCUGAUAACCACUUAGCUAAGCAUUGCCUCUCAACCUUUAAUGAGCUCAAAAAUCACUUGGUAACGUUGGUCCCACUUUAUGUAAUGUGAUUCUGUAGGUUUGGAAAGGGUCCAUGGAUGGGUGUUUCAAACAAGUCCCGUGUCAAUGCUGAUGUUGCUCCCCUUGGGCUCAUUAUUAGCAUUAGUUAGAGAAAGCAGGCACAGCACAGAGUCCUUUACAUGCCGCACUCUUGUCACAAUACAAUACUUCUGAUACCCAAAUAAAGACAAAAAAUGUAAAGUUUCAUAUUCUUUGCUGGCUCUCUAAAGUUUACAGAGGACACAGAAGGCAGCAAUGUCUAAAUAAGUCUGCAUUUAAAAAACAACAUGUACACAUGAACUAAUGCAAUGUUUAUUAAGCAGGUACUAUGUGCUCAAUAGUAUGUUGCAGAGCACUGUGCUGGGAAUAACACAUUAUGUGUUAUUAUUUGUUAUUAUGUCCUACUAACACCUUGAAAGUUCAUACUAAGUGUUCAAUAAUUCUCAGGAUUUAGAAUGUAGUUUAGAGAAAUUUUUUUGUGUUUAUGUUUACUUGUUUAUGACUUGUAGAGCAGCUACUGGAUCUGCAGGAACAGAAAAUCUGCUAAAUGGAACGUUUCUGUAAGCACUGGUUUUACUACAAAAUUUAAAAAUUAAGAUCUUAAAAUGUAUAGUUUAUUUUUCUUAUGUAUCUGCUUUUGGGUUUCAGGAUACUGUGAGCAGCAGCUCUAGAAAGUCAGCAGGAUUUACCCCCAAAAACUUGAAUCUUUAUAAAUCAGUUUUGUAAGGGAACACUCC